UGUUCGGAUCGUGAAAUGGGACGCGGAUCCUAUUUGUUGAUUUAACCGACCCACCUUUUUCGGAUCUAUUAUAAAAGACAAUUUAUCAAUUUUUUCUAUACCAAACCCUAUACGCCACAGAGAGAAUCCAUCUCCACACCUUCAUCUUUUCCAAUCAACUUCUCAAUCUUGCCGCUAAACCCUAAUUGGAAUCAACUUCUCAAUCUUGUCGCUACAAACUCUCUCGCCUAUCAAUCCGCCAUUGUUGAAAUUUCUACUUGGAAUUGCAAAUCCACAGCAUCUUCAUCGCUGUAUAGCACCGUCAUCACCAUCUUAGGGAUUCUGACGAAGUUGAAAGAGUUGCUGGUAACAUCUUAAUAAGCUGCACACUGGAUCGUCCAUGUCUCAAAUUUUCGAGAUUACUUUGUUAUUCAUCCAUGUUUUGUAUGAAUCUGAUCCCAAUCCUAAAUGAUUUUUAUAAGAUCUAUGCACCUGAACCCGACCACGACCUGUUUAGCAUGAAGUUUAACAUAAAGGAGCUUUUUGUUGAGGUCCUUUUUUGGUUUUUUCUAUUCUUUACCAAUUAAUUUUAUUAGAUUAUUGUAGAGAGACAUGCCGAGACUGGUUCCAAUUGAGUUUGAAAGCUCUUAGCGUUUUCCGUGAUCAAUUUCUGAUGUAUAGCUUCUACUCUUUUGGACUAUCCGAAAAAUACCAAAUGUCCAGCAGGCGCCAUUAAAUUGAGUUUGAAAGUUGGAGAGCUUCAUGAAAACGCUCAUGAUGUCACUUCAAGAUGAAGAAGGAAGUUCUGUCGGCUAGGAACCCAGUGGUUGCUUCACCAGUUGUGCCAAAUCAUACAAGCUUAUCAUCUCAGUCAAAUGCUGGAGAAAAUGAUGAAAAUGUGCCGCUGCCACCUUCAAGUAAGUCACCAAUAACGAGUCAGUCAUCAGAUGUACUGAAUUCCUCUCAAGAUGAGCCAGUGACAGAUGGCCAAACUUUUCCAUUACGGGUCAGUAAGAUUGAUCGUGGAGUCCUGCAGAUCAACACAUUUUAAAGCAAUGGAUGUUGCGAAAGAUGUAUGGGUAUUUCUGUCAUAUGACCCAAAUCUCUGGUUGCCAUUGUGGUCAUCAAUAGAUGAGGCCCAUAAGCAAAUCAUGAGCGUAUGGGAUAAGGCCAAAGUGAUCAAAGUCAAUGAUAAUGAACUAGAAUUUCUCAUAUGAAGUGAUAAAAUUGAUGAGAAUCUUCUGUGGGUCACUCCUGGUGACGAGGGUUGCAAUAAACUACACCAAGCUAGCUGUUUACAGUACUUUGUGAGACUUAAAGCCUAAAUUCGAUAAGGUCCAACACUCCAACUACUUACAUCUCUUUGCAAAACAAGUUUUUAUCUCAGCUUGGUUGCUAAAGGUUUCACAGGUGUACAACCAUUUGUUCAGUCAACUUCGGAUGCGUAAUGUCUCUAUAUUUGCUUGUGGACAAACAUGUUCAGGAAAGACAUACAAUGAAUACCGCCGGCUAUAUUGAGAGGACACCAUAGUUACGAACAAAGGAGAAAGGGCGACUAGAAGAGUCAAAUGUAUCUCAGCUAAGCUGUUGUGAGCAACUUUUAUGCAUUUCUCAUCCAACAUACCUACUGGGUGCCAUCGCACACUGCAUGUCAUAACCAGGAAUGGAUUAUCGUUCUUGCAGCAAAGGCUGUGCCCAAUGGGACAAGGAGAUCAAUUGCUUCAUUCUAUAACCCAUCCUAUAAUGCCACCAUAGAACCAGCAAGCCAGCUGAUCCAAAAAGAGAACAAAGACGUUAACCAUUUUGGUUACCCAAAGUUCGUGUUUGGUGACUACAUGUCGAUAUAUACUGAACAGAAGUUCCUCCCAAAAGAACCAAGGUUUGAAGCUUUGAAAGCGGCGAAUUAAAGUAACAGUGUCGUGCCAUCUUUUAUGUUUAGCGUUUAAUAUUUACGAGUGAUUAAGGAUUAUAAGCUCUUCUCCAUGUGACAUUGCGCAUCUUUAUAACAUAUCUAUUUGUAUAAAUUGUUUUAUGUUUUUUAA